UCAUAUCAAUAAGCGGAGGAAAAGAAACCAACAGGGAUUGCCUCAGUAACGGCGAGUGAAGCGGCAACAGCUCAAAUUUGAAAUCUGGCGGCCUCUGGGCCGUCCGAGUUGUAAUUUGAAGAGGAUGCUUUUGGCGAGGCGCCUUCCGAGUGCCCUGGAACGGGACGCCACAGAGGGUGAGAGCCCCGUAUGGUUGGACGCCGAGCCUCUGUAAAGCUCCUUCGACGAGUCGAGUAGUUUGGGAAUGCUGCUCAAAAUGGGAGGUAAACCCCUUCUAAAGCUAAAUACUGGCCAGAGACCGAUAGCGCACAAGUAGAGUGAUCGAAAGAUGAAAAGCACUUUGAAAAGAGAGUUAAAUAGCACGUGAAAUUGUUGAAAGGGAAGCGCUUGCGACCAGACUUGUGCCCGUCGAAUCAGCCGCCGCUCGCCGGCGGCGCACUUCGGCGGGCUCAGGCCAGCAUCAGUUCGCUGCAGGGGGAGAAAGGCGGCGGGAAUGUGGCUCUUCGGAGUGUUAUAGCCCGCCGCGCAAUACCCCUCGGCGGACUGAGGACCGCGCAUCUGCAAGGAUGCUGGCGUAAUGGUCGUCAGCGACCCGUCUUGAAACACGGACCAAGGAGUCGUCCUAAUAUGCGAGUGUUCGGGUGUAAAACCCCUGCGCGUAAUGAAAGUGAACGGAGGUGAGAGCUUCGGCGCAUCAUCGACCGAUCCUGAUGUUCUCGGAUGGAUUUGAGUAAGAGCAUAUUGGGCCGGACCCGAAAGAAGGUGAACUAUGCCUGUAUAGGGUAAAGCCAGAGGAAACUCUGGUGGAGGCUCGCAGCGGUUCUGACGUGCAAAUCGAUCGUCAAAUAUGGGCAUGGGGGCGAAAGACUAAUCGAACCUUCUAGUAGCUGGUUU
rnacentral:rRNA from 1 species